rnacentral:rRNA from 1 species
UACGUAGGGUGCAAGCGUUAAUCGGAAUUACUGGGCGUAAAGCGUGCGCAGGCGGUUGUGCAAGACAGAUGUGAAAUCCCCGGGCUCAACCUGGGAAUUGCAUUUGUGACUGCACGGCUAGAGUGUGUCAGAGGGGGGUAGAAUUCCACGUGUAGCAGUGAAAAUGCGUAGAGAUGUGGAGGAAUACCGAUGGCGAAGGCAGCCCCCUGGGAUAACACUGACGCUCAUGGCACGAAAGCGUGGGGAGCAAACAGG